AGAUUGAACGCUGGCGGCAUGCCUUACACAUGCAAGUCGAACGGCAGCACGGGAGCAAUCCUGGUGGCGAGUGGCGAACGGGUGAGUAAUAUAUCGGAACGUGCCCAGUCGUGGGGGAUAACGCAGCGAAAGCUGUGCUAAUACCGCAUACGAUCUAUGGAUGAAAGCGGGGGAUCGCAAGACCUCGCGCGAUUGGAGCGGCCGAUAUCAGAUUAGCUAGUUGGUGGGGUAAAAGCCUACCAAGGCGACGAUCUGUAGCUGGUCUGAGAGGACGACCAGCCACACUGGAACUGAGACACGGUCCAGACUCCGUACGGGAGCAGCAGGUGGGGUAAUUUGGACAAGUGGGCGCGAAGCCUGACUCCAGACAAUCGCCGCGUGCGAAGGAUAGGAACGGUCCGUUUCGGGUUAGUUAAAC
rnacentral:rRNA from 1 species